GCCUGGGUGGCUCAGUCGGUUGAGCGUCCGACUUCGGCUCAGGUCAUGAUCUCACAGCUCGUGAGUUCGAGCCCCGCGUCAGGCU
rfam:Felis catus isolate Cinnamon breed Abyssinian chromosome A3, whole genome shotgun sequence.